rnacentral:misc_RNA from 1 species
CUUUAUUUCCCUUUUUUUUUUCCUUGAAGAACACCUGCAUUUCGCCAUUCAUUAAUCAAUAAUCAACAUUUUAUCCAAUAAUCUACCAAUAAUCAACAUUUUGUUCAAUAAUCAAUCAAUAUCAACCAAAAUCUUUGAUAAUCAUUCAAUAACCAACAAUUUGUUCAAAGAAUAACAAAACCCAUUUGUUCAAUAAUCAACUAGAAUCCACAAACAAAACCUUGAGCAGAAGCCAUGAAGCCAUGAACCAACGAACCACGAAUUGCAGAAGGGAUGUUAGAAGCCAAGAACCCAUGAACCAUGAACCAAGAACCAUGAAUAGCAAAAGGCAGAACAGAAUCAUUAAACCUAUUUUCUUAGUAACCAAACAGAAAAUUCCUCCCAUUUAUUUUCUCAGUAAUUAACCAAAUAAAAAAUUACGAUCAGAGAAACCCAAACGUGUUAAUCUCAUCUCCUUAUAGCCCUUUAUCCCUCUUUCCUUCUCUGUUUUCGUGGCUGGUGGGAGUAGUUGACAUAUAAUCCCUAUCGUGGCCAUAGCUAAUGAGCUCAUAAUCACAAACAAUAACACCCAUUUCCUCUUUAUAGAAAUCCCGAACAGCAUGGAAAGCGCUAGCCAUCCCUUCCACCGGAUCUCCUUUCUCUUCCAUCCCACCUGUAAGGCUAUACCCCUCACUAUUUUCUCCUCAAAAUCUUUCUCUUCCCUUCCAUUUGAUUCAAUCAACCCCAUGGAAGCUCUUGGCAGUCAGUUCCUCAGUCAUGUAGUUCAUGUCCUGGAAACAAGCAUUGUAAUAUAGCAAUAAGGGAAGUCGCAGUAAGAGAUGACGGAGAGGAACUACUAGCUCACUGCGCCUUUGAUGCCCAUGACGGGAAAGAAUGGGAUGUUUUCUUGGAGGAACAUCCGGAUUAUUGAAGGAGAAUAGAUGGUAGAUUACUGGAUAAUAGAUGGUUGAAUUUGGGUUUGAAGGCGAAUUUGGACAAUAGAUAUGUUUAUUGGUGUGGGUGGGCAAGAGUUGCCAUUAGAGAGAGAACGAGAGACGUGCAACGCGGGUUUAGCAAGAGAGAGGAAGAGGGUGAAUGGA